GACGAACGCUGGCGGCGUGCUUAACACAUGCCAGUCGAACGGAAAGGCCUCUUUCGGGGGGUACUCGAGUGGCGAACGGGUGAGUAACACGUGAGUAACCUGCCCUUGACUUUGGGAUAACUUCAGGAAACUGGGGCUAAUACCGGAUAGGAGCUCCUGCUGCAUGGUGGGGGUUGGAAAGUUUCGGCGGUUGGGGAUGGACUCGCGGCUUAUCAGCUUGUUGGUGGGGUAGUGGCUUACCAAGGCUUUGACGGGUAGCCGGCCUGAGAGGGUGACCGGCCACAUUGGGACUGAGAUACGGCCCAGACUCCUACGGGAGGCAGCAGUGGGGAAUAUUGCACAAUGGGUGGAAGCCUGAUGCAGCAACGCCGUGUGCGGGAUGACGGCCUUCGGGUUGUAAACCGCUUUCGCUCAUGACGAAGCUUUGUGUGACGGUAGUGGGUAAAGAAGCACCGGCUAACUGCGUG
rnacentral:rRNA from 1 species